rnacentral:misc_RNA from 1 species
CGCUUCCCAGAACUGCUCUCAGUAGGUUGGCCAGUAGCUUUCUCGGUUUUCUCUUUCUCUUGGGUAUUCUUCUUCACUGACCCUUCCAUUUCUAUCCUCUCACAUUCCAAGGCUUGCGAUAUCAACUCAGAGAAAUUCUAGUGUCGAAAAUCCACUACUUGCAUUCUCAAUGUAGGCCUUAACCCGGCCUCAAACCUCUUACAUCUGUCUCU